rnacentral:SRP_RNA from 1 species
GCUGGGCAUGGCGUCGCAUGCCUGUAAUCCCAGCUACUUGGAGGCUGAGGCAGGAGAAUCGCUUGAACCUGGUAGGCAGAGGUUGCAGUGAGCCGAGAUUGUGCCAUUGCAUUCCAGCCCAGGCAACAAGAGUGAAAUUCCGUCUCACUUUUUUUUUUUUUUUUUUUUUGAGACAGAGUUUCGCUCUUGUUACACAGGCUGGAGUGCAAUGGCGCAAUCUCGGCUCACCGCAACCUCUGCCUCCUGGGCUCGGGCAAUUCUCCUGCCUCAG